AUGAGGAGCUCCACGGCUCUCAUCGCCGCGGCAUCGCUCGUACUGCUGCUGGUGUCGCUGGCGGCGGCGGACAUCCAGAUACCCUACAGGGAGAGGAGCGAGGAGGAGACGCGGCGGAUCUUCGUGGAGUGGAAGGCCAAGUACGGGAGGAGCUACGACUCCAUCCGCGAGGAGGAGCGCCGGUAUGCGAUCUUCAAGGACAACCUGCUGCGGAACAUCGAUCAGCAGAGCGCCGCCGGGAUCCAGCGGCAGCUCAACAAUUUCUCCGACCACACCCAUGGUGAGGAGUUCAGAGCCUUUCGCCCAUGUUACAUUCCACUAGAUGGCUACGGCGACUGGACGAAGACCAAGGGAGCGUGGAUUGCAUACAUGCUGUUUGUUUCUACUUUCAUUGUUGUUCUUGCAUUUUGUAAAUUGCAUGCAUAG
rnacentral:rRNA from 1 species